rnacentral:rRNA from 1 species
GACGAACGCUGGCGGCGUGCUUAACACAUGCAAGUCGAACGGAAAGGCCCUGCUUUUGUGGGGUGCUCGAGUGGCGAACGGGUGAGUAACACGUGAGUAACCUGCCCUUGACUUUGGGAUAACUUCAGGAAACUGGGGCUAAUAUCGGAUAGGAGCUCCUGCUGCAUGGUGGGGGUUGGAAAGUUUCGGCGGUUGGGGAUGGACUCGCGGCUUAUCAGCUUGUUGGUGGGGUAGUGGCUUACCAAGGCUUUGACGGGUAGCCGGCCUGAGAGGGGGACCGGGCACAUGGGGACUGAGAGACGGCCCAGACGCGUACGGGAGGCAGCAGUGGAGAAUAUUGCACAAUGGGCGGAAGCCUGAUGCAGCAACGCCGCGUGCGGGAUGACGGCCUUCGGGUUGUGAACCGCUUUCGCCUGUGACGAAGCGUGAGUGACGGUAAUGGGUAAAGAAGCACCGGCUAACUACGUG